UAGCUAAUUGACCAAAAAACCAGAAAGUCUGUUAAACCUUAACAAACCCGAGUUGAAGCAUAGAAACGGCGGUGCUAAACCUCUUCUCUCCAAGCUCCGGGCCAAGCCGGUCCGGACCGCCUCGGGCAUCGCCGUCGUGGCCGUGAUGUCGAAGCCUCAUCGGUGCCCCCACAUCGCCACCACCGGUAAUAUUUGCGUGUACUGCUCCGGUGGUCCCGAUUCGGACUUUGAGUACAGCACUCAGUCUUACACUGGAUAGAAGCCUACUAGCUUGCGCGCAAUUCGGGCAACAUACAACCCAUAUGUCCAGGCUAGAAGCAGGAUAGAUCAGCUGAAGAGAUUGGGUCACAGUGUAGACAAGGUCGAGCUCAUCUUAAUGGGCGGUACUUUCAUGUCGUUGCCCGCGGAUUACUUUAGGCGAUCUCCGAUCGAUGGCUGAUCAGAUGACUCGUUUUAG